CCUACGGGUGGCAGCAGUGAGGAAUAUUGGUCAAUGGGCGCGAGCCUGAACCAGCCAAGUCGCGUGAGUGAAGACGGUCCUAUGGAUUGUAAACCUCUUAUGUCGGGGAGCAAAAGACGCCACGCGUGGCGGUACGAGAGUACCCGAAGAAAAAGCAACGGCUAACUCCGUGCCAGCAGCCGCGGUAAUAGGGAGGAGGCGAUGGUUAUCCGGAUUUAUUGGGUUUAUAGGGUGCGGAGGCGGAAGAUCAAGUCAGCGGUAAAAUUGAGAGGCUCAACCUCUUUGAGCCGUUGAAACUGGUUUACUUGAGUGAGUGAGAAGUAUGCGGAAUGCGUGGUGUAGCGGUGAAAUGCAUAGAUAUCACGCAGAACUC
rnacentral:rRNA from 1 species